rfam:Canis lupus familiaris chromosome 27, whole genome shotgun sequence.
AGGAGGAACAGCCCCAGUGGCGGGGCAGCUCUGGAAACCCGGAUUCAGCUCUGGCAGGAACCACGGAGCUCUCCGUCUGCAGGGCCUGGAGGCUCCGGGCGGGG